rnacentral:misc_RNA from 1 species
ACGUCAUCCCCGACCACACCAUCGGGCGCUUCAGCGUGCGCGCUCUCGAUCGCCGAUAUCAGCAAGAGGUCCUGCGCCGCUUCAUCGCCUGCGCCGAGGGCGCGGCGACCGCGACCGGCGCGACGGUCAAGGUGAGCGUGGAUGAGAACGCCGGCUACGAGAACAUGGUCUUCUCCUCACCGAUGGCCGCGCGGUGGACCGGGCACAUGCGCUCGCUCGGGAUGCAGGUCUUCGACGCGCGCGACGACGAGCGCGUCGGCUCCACGGACAUGGGCAACGUCAUGCAGGUGCUG